GGGCGAUUAGCUCAGACGGUUAGAGCGCUGCGUUGACAUCGCAGAGGUCAGUGGUUCGAGUCCACUAUCGCCCACCA
rnacentral:tRNA from 2 species